CACGUAGGGGGCAAGCGUUGUCCGGAUUUAUUGGGCGUAAAGAGCUCGUAGGCGGUUCGGUAAGUCGGGUGUGAAACCUCCAGGCUCAACCUGGAGACGCCACCCGAUACUGCUGCGACUAGAGUCCGGUAGGGGAGCGUGGAAUUCCUGGUGUAGCGGUGAAAUGCGCAGAUAUCAGGAGGAACACCAGCGGCGAAGGCGGCGCUCUGGGCCGGAACUGACGCUGAGGAGCGAAAGCGUGGGGAGCAAACAGG
rnacentral:rRNA from 1 species